rnacentral:tRNA from 1 species
GGAGAGGUACCGAAGCGGUCAUAACGGGGCGGUCUUGAAAACCGUUUGGCAGCAAUGCCACAUGGGUUCGAAUCCCAUCCUCUCCGCCA